rnacentral:rRNA from 1 species
UACGUAGGGUGCGAGCGUUGUCCGGAUUUAUUGGGCGUAAAGGGCUCGUAGGUGGUUGAUCGCGUCGGAAGUGUAAUCUUGGGGCUUAACCCUGAGCGUGCUUUCGAUACGGGUUGACUUGAGGAAGGUAGGGGAGAAUGGAAUUCCUGGUGGAGCGGUGGAAUGCGCAGAUAUCAGGAGGAACACCAGUGGCGAAGGCGGUUCUCUGGGCCUUUCCUGACGCUGAGGAGCGAAAGCGUGGGGAGCGAACAGGAUUAGAUACCCCUGUAGUCC